UGAAGUAAGUUAGAGUAAGUAAGAGUGAGCAGGAAACCUAUGAUUCAUCGAAAAAUGAACAACUUUAAUUUGAAUAUUGACGCAUGAGCCAUUCAACGUCGGGAGCUUCGGGGAAGAUGACGAAACCUUUGAACAUUUGAUUGAAGUUCGGCUGUUUUUUGUUGGUUAGCUCCAUCACUGGAACCAGAAGCACUGUCCGGUCUGCCACCACAUCUUCAUCAUCUUCAUCCAUCCACCACCAAGAGGACCCUCACACCGGACGUCACAGUGCGCCUGGAGUCCCUUUGAC